GGGGACCUCAGACCCUUCCUGUUUCUUUCUCUCCCUUCCUGGCCUCUACGAGGUGAAUAGGUCUCCUCUAACAACAUAUGCUGUCACAGGCCCCAAAACAGCAGGCCAGAAGAACACGAAUGAAGACCUCUAAAUUGAUUGUCAACUGAAGCCUUUUCUGUUUUAAAAUUGCUGAAAUAAGAAACAAGGUGACAUGGAGACACACAGAAACUCUGGUGCUGAACUCCCUGGAACAUACUGACGCUGACCUACCUGGAUUCCACGCUUGCUCUGUUACUCGAGCCAUGUGUUAUGGGAAAUCCUUCUUUAAUGAGAAGCUAAAGGAUGAUACACACAUUGCUCAGUAGUGGAGAGACUGAGCCGGGCCAGCUUCAUCUGUGAAUUCUCUCUUGGUAGAUGAUGAACUGAGGCUACUUCUCUCCAGAGACAAUCAAAAUAACACUUUGUGGAAAUCUCUGGCCAAAAUAAA